rnacentral:rRNA from 1 species
AUUGAACGCUAGCGGCGUGCUUAACACAUGCAAGUCGAACGGCAGCACAGUAUGUAGCAAUACAUAUGGGUGGCGAGUGGCGGACGGGUGAGUAAUACGUAGGAAUCUACCUUGUAGUGGGGGAUAACCCGGGGAAACUCGGGCUAAUACCGCAUAAUCUUUACGAAGCAAAGAGGGCCUCUGAAUAUGCUAUUGCUAAAUGAUGAGCCUACGUCGGAUUAGCUAGUUGGUGGGGUAAAGGCCUACCAAGGCGACGAUCCGUAGCUGGUCUGAGAGGAUGAUCAGCCACACUGGGACUGAGACACGGCCCAGACUCCUACGGGAGGCAGCAGUGGGGAAUAUUGGACAAUGGGCGAAAGCCUGAUCCAGCAACGCCGUGUGUGUGAAGAAGGCCUUAGGGUUGUAAAGCACUUUCAGUGGGGAAGAAAAGUUCAAGGCUAAUACCCUUGAAUCUUGACGUUACCCACAGAAGAAGCACUGGCUAACUCUGUGCCAGCCGCCGCCGUAA